AUUGAACGCUGGCGGCAGGCCUAACACAUGCAAGUCGAGCGGGGCGGCGGACGGGGGAGUAAUACCUAGGAAUGUGCAUGGUAGUGGGGGAUAGCGUCCGGAAACGGGCGCUGAUGCCGAAUACUAUCACCUGCGCAUAGGUCGGAUUAGCUAGUUGGUGGGGUAAAGGCCUACCAAGGCGACGAUCCGUAACUGGUCUGAGAGGAUGAUCAGUCACACUGGAACUGAGACACAGUCCAGACUCCUACGGGAGGCAGCAGUGGGGAAUAUUGGACAAUGGGCGAAAGCCUGAUCCAGCCAUGCCGCGUGUGUGAAGAAGGUCUUCGGAUUGUAAAGUACUUUCAGUUGGGAGGCGUUACCAGCAGAAUAAGCACCGGCUAACUCCGUGCCAGCCGCCGCGGUAAUAC
rnacentral:rRNA from 1 species